rnacentral:rRNA from 1 species
GACGAACCGAGCGAACGUUGUUCGGAAUCACUGGGCUUAAAGGGCGCGUAGGCGGGUGAUCAAGUCCGGGGUGAAAUCCUCCAGCUCAACUGGAGAACUGCCUCGGAUACUGGUUGCCUCGAGGAAGGUAGGGGUGUGUGAAACGUUCAGUGGAGCGGUGAAAUGCAUUGAUAUUGAACGGAACUCCGGUGGCGAAGGCGACACACUGGACCUUUUCUGACGCUGAGGCGCGAAAGCUAGGGGAGCAAACGGG